rnacentral:rRNA from 1 species
UACGGGAGGCAGCAGUGGGGAAUAUUGCACAAUGGGCGCAAGCCUGAUGCAGCCAUGCCGCGUGUAUGAAGAAGGCCUUCGGGUUGUAAAGUACUUUCAGUCGUGAGGAAGGUGUUAAGGUUAAUAACCUUAGCAAUUGACGUUAGCGACAGAAGAAGCACCGGCUAACUCCGUGCCAGCAGCCGCGGUAAUACGGAGGGUGCGAGCGUUAAUCGGAAUUACUGGGCUAAAGGGCACGCAGGCGGUUAAUUAAGUUGGAUGUGAAAUCCCCGGGCUAACCUGGGAAUGGCAUUCAAGACUGGUUAGCUAGAGUCUUGUAGAGGGGGUAGAAUUCCAUGUGUAGCGGUGAAAUGCGUAGAGAUGUGGAGGAAUACCGGUGGCGAAGGCGGCCCCUGGGACAAAGACUGACGCUCAUGUGCGAAAGCGUGGGGAGCAAACAGGGAUUAGAUACC